AGUGAACGCUGGCGGUAGGCCUAACACAUGCAAGUCGAACGGCAGCACAGUAAGAGCUUGCUCUUACGGGUGGCGAGUGGCGGACGGGUGAGGAAUACAUCGGAAUCUACUUUUUCGUGGGGGAUAACGUAGGGAAACUUACGCUAAUACCGCAUACGACCUACGGGUGAAAGCAGUGGAUCUUCUGACCUUGCGCGAUUGAAUGAGCCGAUGUCGGAUUAGCUAGUUGGCGGGGUAAAGGCCCACCAAGGCGACGAUCCGUAGCUGGUCUGAGAGGAUGAUCAGCCACACUGGAACUGAGACACGGUCCAGACGCCUGCGGGAGGCAGCAGUGGGGAAUAUUGGACAAUGGGCGCAAGCCUGAUCCAGCCAUACCGCGUGGGUGAAGAAGGCCUUCGGGUUGUAAAGCCCUUUUGUUGGGAAAGAAAAGCAGCAGGUUAAUACCCCGCUGUUCUGACGGUAACCAAAGAAUAAGCACCGGCUAACUUCGUG
rnacentral:rRNA from 1 species